CAUAUACUUCCUCCGUCCCAAAAUUCUUGUCUUAAAUUUGUCUAGAUACAGAUGUAUCUAACACUAAAACGUAACUAGAUACAUCCGUAUUUAGACAAAUGUAAGACAAAAAAUUUGGGACAGAGGGAGUACAUA
rnacentral:pre_miRNA from 1 species